CCUGCUGAACUUAAGCAUAUUAAUAAGCAGAGAAAAAGAAAUCAACAGAGAUUAUCUCAGUAACAGUGAGUGAAGUGAUAAAAGCUCAAAUUUGAAAUCUGGCUUUUUUGAGACCUGAGUUGUAAUUUGCAGAGAAUUCUUCAGACAUGAUCAUAGUCUAAGUUCUCUGAAACAGAGUAUCACAGAGAGUGAGAAUUCUGUCUUCAGCUGACUGACUUCGCUCAUGUGAAGCUUCUUCAAUGAGUUGAGUUGUUUGAAAAUACAGCUCUAAAUAAGUGAUAAAUUUCAUUUAAAGCUAAAUAUUGAUCAGAGACAGAUAGCACAUAAGUAGAGUGAUUGAAAGAUAAAAAGCACUUUAAAAAGAGAGUUAAACAGCAUGUGAAAUUAUUAAAAGAAAAGCACUUAUGAUCAGAGUCAGCUGUGAGAAUUCAGUAGAUAUUUAUUGCCUGUGCACUUCUUCACAGAUGAGUCAGUGUCAGUUUCAACAGUCAGUCAAAAACUUCUGAAAUGUGUUAUCUCUCAGAACAUCUUAUAGUCAGAGAUGCAAUGCAGUCAGUUAAGACUGAGAAAUGCACUUCAGUACAGACACUGACUUAAUAGUUAUAAGUAAUUCAUCUUGAAACAUAGAUUAAGAAGUCUAAUAUUUAUACAAGUGUUCAGAUGUCAAACCUGUUCAUGCAGUGAAAGUGAACAGAAAGAAGAACUCUUAAGAGUGCAUCAUUGACUGAUUCUGAAGUCUUUAGAUAGAUUUGAGUAAGAGUAUGACUGUUGAAACCUGAAAGAUAAUGAACUAUAUCUGAAUAGAGUGAAGUCAGAGAAAACUCUGAUGAAAACUUAUAGUAAUUCUGACAUGCAAAUCAAUCAUUGAAUUUAAGUAUAGAGUUAAAAGACUAAUUGAAUUAUUUAGUAGCUGAUUUCUGCUGAAGUUUCUCUCAGAAUAGCAGUAAUGUUUUCAGUUUUAUGAGAUAAAGUGAAUGAUUAGAGGUCUUGAGAUUGAAACAAUCUUAAUCUAUUCUCAAACUUUAAAUAUAUAAGAAGCUCUUGUUACUUUAUUGAAUAUAAGCACUGAAAUGAAUUGUUACUAGUGAAUCAUUUUUAAUAAGUAGAACUGAUAAUGCAGAAUAAACUGAAUAUGAGAUUAAGAUAUUAGAAUACACACUCAUCAGAUCUUAUAAAAGAUGUUAGUUUAUUUAGACAGUCUGAUGAUGAUCAUGAAAGUCAGAAUCUGCUAAGAAGUAUGUAAUAACUUAUAAGCUGAAUGAACUAGCUCUGAAAAUGAAUGACACUUAAGUGUGCUAUUCAUACCUCACUGUUGAGAUAGAAUUGAAGCUCUGAUAAGUAGACAGAUAUGAAGAUUUAUAACAAAGUUUAGAGAGUGAUUCUGAGUUGAAUAAUCUCUAGUACAGAUCUUGAUAAUAGUAGUACUAGUAAAUACUUAAAUGAGAACUUUGAGAACUGAAGUGAGAAAAGAUUUCAUGUGAACAGCAGUUGAAUAUGAAUUAGUCAAUUCUAAGAUAUAGAGAAACUCUGUUUGAAAGCAUGCUCUUAUGCACUGUCUAUUAAAAGAGAAGCUGAUUAACAUUUCAGCAUCUGAAUGUGAAUUCUUUAUAACAAUAUAACUAAACACAGAGAUGUCAGUGAGAAUUCUGAGAACAGUUAUCUUUUCUUCUUAACAGUCUAUCACUCUGAAAUCAGUUUAUUCAGAGCUAGAGUUCAAUGACUGGCAGAGUCUCACAUCUUUGCAGAAUUCAGUGUGCCUCUGAUAAUUCUUGAAAAUUCACAGAAAGAAAUAGUUUUCACAUCAGAUUAUACUCAUAAUCACAGCAGGUCUUCAAGAUGAAAAGCCUCUAGUU
rfam:Blastomyces dermatitidis ER-3 genomic scaffold supercont1.9, whole genome shotgun sequence.